GAAGUUAAAUCUUCACAUCAUUACUCUGGUUAACGUGGGAGAAUCAGCUCCAUUAAAGCAAACAUGGAAGCCGCCUUUUGGUGUGAACAUUAAGUUUUAUUAUACAAUAUAUGAAGUAGACUUUCCUGCUCUCCUAUGGGAGGGCGCAUGAUUCAGCACAUUUAUUUCCAGUUCUGUGUGCUUGCCAAUCAACUACUUCACCUUUGUUCUAUUGCAAAUAUUUGGUAUGGACAUUUGAUGUUUUUGUUAUAUUGCAGUAUUGAAUUUGAUCGUGAUGAUGAACUAUUUGCUACCGCUGGAGUCUCGAAAUGUAUUAAAGUCUUCGAAUUUUCUACUGUUGUUAAUGAACCAUCAGAUGUGCAUUGCCCAGUUGUUGAAAUGGCUACCAGAUCUAAACUUAGUUGCCUGAGCUGGAACAAGUACUCAAAAAAUAUUAUUGCAAGCAGUGACUAUGAGGGUAUAGUAACUGUGUGGGAUAUUCAGACCCGUCAGAGUGUGAUGGAAUAUGAAGAGCAUGAGAAGAGAGCAUGGAGUGUUGAUUUUUCUCGCACAGACUCUUCAAUGC